GGAUUUUUGAUUAACGCUUGUAAACCAACCGAUUCAAUGUCGCGGUGACAGACAUUGACUCUGUUCAGCCACAAGCCACUUGGAAG
rfam:Yersinia ruckeri strain 37551 YRO1b0000022, whole genome shotgun sequence.